rnacentral:lncRNA from 10 species
CCACCCGGACUCAGUUGACUUUCUGCUUACUCUGGCUUAUUUAUUCUCCAUAUGCUCCCCAUCAUCACUGAAGUAUCCUGGAUCAUUCAUUUAUGGAGGGAACCACAUUUUUACCUUAUAGGCUAGAGCUCUCUGUGGGAGAGCGGUGGGGUUUUAUAAUUUAUCAACUAUGAGGAGCUCACUAUUUCAUACCCAUGGCUGUUUAGAAUGCUUAAGAGAACACAGAAGCUCCCUGAGGUGCGGCCCUUUUUUAUGCUGGAUCUCCAACACUGGAAGCAAAAGGAAGUCCCAAACAGAAACUAUAUGCAGUGCUGAAUCUACAGUGGCUCUGAGAACUUUUAACUAAUGGGCACUUGUAAAUCUCACAACAUUUCCUACUGGCGUGAAUGCCCUGGGUAAAAUGCUCAUUAAACUGUCAGCCAGCAGAGAGGUGUCGUUGCUGGAAAGAGAGUCACAGCAUCCAGGGGUGGAAAGAGGCCUCCCUGGGCCACCAGGGCCCUCCUCUCCCCCAUUCACCCACCACCAACCCCAGACUCAAACCCUCCUUUCAAAGCCUUUCAGAGGAUGUUACAACUCUCCUUCACCUCCACCAGGAAAUUAUUCUUUUUCUCCAAUCCAAAUAUAUAUAUAUAUAUUCAUGUUUAA